CUGAAAAGUAACCAAUCAAAUUUAAUUGAUCAUCCACGUGUAUCUCAUAAUCGACUUAUUGAUAUAAUGGUUCUCCAAGUUAUCUAUACUUUUUGUCUGCGAUAUCACUUCGGUGGAAGCGGGCGUAAAAUACAACUAACUAAGAAGAAGUAUCUAUACUUUAGUCAUUGCGACAAAUUCUUUCUUUGAUAUUAUAUCAGCGACAUUCAGUUAGAUGUAGUGACGUUAGCAUCAACAGAGUGCUUUAGCCGUGAUAUUUUUAAAAAAAAAAUUAUAAUGGUCACAUAGAAUACCAGACCGCAGGUUUGUAAAUUUUUACAAAAAAUAAAACCGUGUAUUUAAUUUAGCAUGUAUAUAUUGCUUCUAUGUAUAUAAUAAUUCGUUUCGUUUAAAACAGUCAGAUUUAGAACCACUGCCACUGACUGCACCGAAAUUCUAUUUAUAUAAUGGCGCCACAAAGAAAUUUUUUUUGAUGUGUUCUAAAAGUGUUCCGCUAAUUCAGCAAUCUAAUGAAUCUGUCUUAAUUUUUCUGAAAUCGUGCUUAAUUAUUAUUAGCUAAUCGGCGCUACACCGUUGUUCAAAUACUUAUAAUUGCAAGAAACCCCCGACUAGGACCAGCAGUCAUUGAUGUUAGCAUAUGUACUACACAAAGAAAAACAGUUUCCAUAUUAGAUGCCAUAGCAAAUCAAAG